UGGCAGUGGAGGUGAAGGCAUCUCACUGGAGUUCUCUACCUAUCUGAGGCCUUUUGAAGCUGCCCUGAGCUGAGAACUUCCGCGCUUACAAGCCAUCAUGUGGGUGUUCAGCGAGGGGACAGCCGGAGGGACAAGGCCACGUGGGAUGGGGAGCCUGGAGGAUGCACGCAGGUUGUGAGUGCUGGGAGAAGCCCCGUGCAGGGGGAGCAGAGAGCUCAGGCUGCGGCGUUUAUCGGAAGGACAGCGGAGGUGACUUGAUUGCCACGUGGAAGUACCUUCCUGGGAGCAAAUACAGCUGCUGAAGUGUCUUUAAUCUCUUGAAGAAAGACAACAAGAGCCGGGAGUUUGAUCAUGUCUGGCUGCUGCUUCCCACUGGAAAAAUAAAGCACGUGCUUCUAGCAGCCAGGCUGGUUAACAGAGGGUCAGCAAAGGGAUGCAUCGUGUGACUUAAUGGCUUUGAAUCUAUGCCAGGACCACUGCUGGGGGCAGAGCCACCCAGCACCCACCCUGCUUUCAGUGCAAGGGUGAAAUAAGGAGGUGGAUGAUGCCUACAGCAGCCGGAGCAGGUUAUUUCACGGUUCUUUCUGUGGCUUCAGUGCCACCACAGUUGCCCCUCCUAAAAGCUCUGUGCUGCAGACCACACAAAAAUCCCUCCCUUGCAUGGGCCACGUGGGUUUGCUCACAUCCAGCCAACCCCAAGCACCCCACAGGGCCACCAGCCUGCUCCUGCCCUGCAUUAAUCUGUACAACCACCAGGACAGAGAGAUGCAACACGUGCAGAGCUCCAGGGCACAGCGCUAUGUGAUGCAGGAAUUUGCCUGUAAGAGCUGAACGUGUUUGUUGCAAUGUACUCACAGCCGUGCUGCAGCACCAGUGGUGUCUGCGUGCAAGGGAACAUCUUUUUGGGACCCCUGGGGCUGAUUUGUUUGCGGGUGUUGCCUUCUGUGCCAGCAAACUUGCUUGUAACACACACAACAAGAUGUCAGAGCCCGUGGGGAGCUGAAACUUGGAUUUCUCCCUUUCUCGCAGCAUUUGUUUUCCAUUCAGGAUUGGAAGGAAGAAAUAGAGGGAGAAGGAACAAACCCAAACCAGCAAAAUGGCUUGGAAAGAAGCCAGCUGAGGGAGCCCCCCACUUGCUUCGGUUUGCAGAGAACCCAGCCCAGGGCAAAGCCCCACUCCAGCUGGGGCAUGUCACCAGCUCUUAAAUCCCUGCCCUCAGCUUCGUUAGCAAGGGGUAACGAGCUGUUCUGGUCACCUGGGUUGGCAGGGGGAUGCAAUCCUGCGCGAGUGCCUUGGUACGAUAGCACCAUCACGCAGAAGCGCAACGAUGCAGAGCUUCCCCUGCACGGGGCUUCCCAGGAGCAGCAGAUGCCAUAAAUCGCUCAGUGAAAGGACAGGGAAGCACCUCAGGAGCCAUUACCUCCUCAGAAGUCAAGCAGCACAGAUUAGAAUGGCAACGAUUCGGGAGUUUUUACGGGGCUGGGCAGGGAUUGUUCAAGGCUCAGCAAUUCUCUGCGCUCCGUCGCCGGGUCAUUGAUUUAUUUUACUUCUUUGCCACUUACGCCGUGUGCUGCGCUAAGUGAGGCGGUGAGGGCUCUGGGGAUGCACCCGGGGGGCAAUCUGGGGCAUGGGGAAGAUCCCACCGGGCUGAGGAAGCUGCAGGUUGAUGGAGCGUAUGGGCUGCGCACCAAACAGAGCAAAGCAAGGGCUGGGUGCAUCUGCUGCUUUCCUGCUUCUGUUCCCUGUGCACACAGGGGGACAAACGUUCCCAGAUUCUCCCUGAGCGGUGCCAGGGAGGAUGGGAUGAUGGAUGUAAAUACAUCCACAAGAGAAGUGGCUGGCUCCAGGAGCCCGGCUCUUUGAGGCGAUGCUGUCAGGUUUGGCACCAAACUUGGAGAUGCAGCGAAGGCGCUGUGACGCACUCAGCGCCGGCUCUGACGUUUGGGUUUUAGGCUUCUUAGCAGCUGGGAUGGAUGGAAGCCAAUGGAGCAAAGUGUGCUUUUCUGCUUCCCCUGCACCGGGGCCUUGCUCUCGUCAUGCAAAAAAUAACCACUCAUACAGCAACGGCCAACUGUCGGGGAGCAGAGAGUUGUGCAAGGUGUUGUGCAAGGUCCUGCUUCCAUGCAAGGAGGAAACAAACUGCAUCUCAUGUUACCCACUUUGUGCACCCCAGGAGGAACCUGGCAGUGCCUUACCCAGCUCUGCAACCUCCCGAGCGCUGCCAAAAGCAAGGUCUCCUUCCCAAACCCUGCAGUCCUUUGUAGGGACGAGCGCGGCACUAAGCUGCGCUCUGAGCACACUUUUCCUCUUUAUAUUACCCAAAGGAAUGAACUGCUAUUACGAAAUCAUUAAAUUAAUAACUUGGUAAUACAGGCAGAUAUAUAAAACAAUCUGUUCCUAGAACAAAAGGAAUUACCACGUUCCAAACAUUCAUAAUUUAAUUUAACAGCGAAUUUAAAGCGGCGUACGUAAUUCCCCUCCCCACCCCCCUCUCCAAAAGUCAAUAGCACGGCAUCAAUAGAGCCAGGGGUGGGAAGGGGCUGUGCCUUGGCUCUGGGAUGGGCAGAAAUGCCCAAAAUGGGAUUUUGGGGAGAGCUGCCCCACUCAGCGCUGCUGCUCUGCCCCACUUUAGAU